ensembl:lncRNA
CCUGAGUGAUAUCACCUCUAAUACAGCUAACCUGAGUGAUAUCACCUCUAAUACAGCUAACCUGAGUGAUAUCACCUCUAAUACAGCUAACCUGAGUGAUAUCACCUCUAAUACAGCUGACCUGAGUGAUAUCACCUCUAAUACAGCUGACCUGAGUGAUAUCACCUCUAAUACAGCUGACCUGAGGGCCAGUUUGUUGGUGCCGUCAUGCAACUACCUCUCAUUGUCAUGCCAAAUACAGGGAUCUGCCUAAAUCUAGGAAAACCCAAUAUACAGGGUGGGUUGCACCAACAUGGAGGAACUCUUAAGCCUUCAUUUAACCCAGUUUCAUCUUCAUCUUGUUGCACCAAACUUUAAAUCUAUUUUUAAAUGAAUCCUAGUUAAAAUGAAUCCUUCUUCUAAUCAUAAGUUUUAGUUUUCACUUUAAACCUAGAGUCAUUUUAAGCUUGAAUAUAAACUUAGAUUGGAGAUUCUGAACUGCCAUUUGAUGUGGUUGAACUGAUAAAAUGACAGGAUAUCGACUGUGGAGAGACCAGAACGACAGAGUUCCUCAGAGAACAUUACGAGACAGGUUGUAUCCUGUUGAGUUUUUUUUAUAAUGAUGAGUUUUCAAGGAGAUGCCGCUUCUCCAAGGAAUCUGUAAUGCAACUGGAAAGAAAGGUUGGACCAAGCGUGGGAACGACGGUAACGAGGAUGUACCCCUACUACUUCAGCUCCUGAUGACUCUACGGUUCUAUGUAACUGGAUGUUUCCAGAUGGUGGAUGGAUGUGGACCUUUCUGGACUCCACAAGUCAACCGUCUACAGGAUUGUAGUGUCCAGUGCUUUUGCCGGCCUGAAGAACGAGUACAUCAGGUUCAGUCCUACAGAGGAAACAGCAGCUGGAUUUUGAGAUGAAAGCUAGAUUCCCGUGUGUACUAUGGGCAAUAGACUGGACACACAUUCCUAUUCCGAACCCUGGUGGUGGGAAUGGAGAACUAUUCUGUAAUCAGAAAGGUUACUGCUCCGUCAACAUGCAGGCUGUCUGUGAUGUCAAAGGUCAGCUCACCAACAUCCUAGCAAGACGGCCAGGAUCCACCCAUGACAGCAGAUACUUUGACAAUAGUCGUCUGUGUGCAAUGCUGGAACGGGGAGCAUAUGAAGGCCCCCUACUACGUAACAAUGGAUAUUCUUGUCAUGGGAACCUUAUGACUCCCCUUUUAAACCCCCAGACACCUGAAGAGAGACAAUCCACCACCUCAUAUCCUGACAAGAGAUCUCAUAGAGAGAGAAUGCACCACCUCUCAUAUCCUGACAAGAGAUCUCAUAGAGAGAGAACACACCACCUCUCAUAUCCUGACAAUAGAUUUCAUAGAGAGAGAACACACCACCUCUCAUAUCCUGACAAGAGAUCUCAUAGAGUUUUUGUAGUAUGGAAGAAAAGAUUCCCUCCCCUACAGGUGGUGCUCUGCAUGAAGAUGGACACUACACUGACAAUCACUAUUGCAGUGGAAGUUCUGUAUAACUUUAGCAAGAGACAAGGAGACAAGCUACCUGAGGAGGCUGAGGAGGACCUACCUGAGGAGGAUGAGGAGAAUGGAGAAGAUGGCCAGGUGCAACAUGCUGUUGAUGUGAAUGCGAUGAGGAGAACUUUGAUUGAGAACCAUUUUUGCAGCCUAACAUGUGUGUGUAUAGUGUAACAUGUAAAAAGCAAUAUUAUAUUUUGACUGACGUGCAAUUCUUAAUAAGACUAUCUGUAUUAAAAUGCAUUAUUAAGUCAUUUGUUAUUCUCGAUCAUAAAGGGGGGAACUGGAAGCACCAGAACAUGAGUGGGGGCACCACAUUGCUAGGGAAAGCAUUGUUUUAAUAAAUAACAAGAUUAGCAUUCUUUCCACAUUUGUUCCCCUGAAGGCGUUUCUGUUUCUGAAUUCGCAGUAGCUCUUUUUUGUAAACUCAGAAUCUCAGUCUGCGGAAUAUUUUUCUCUCCCUCCUGCGCCAAAACAUCAAUAUGAGCUGUUUUAGUCUUGGGUUCUGGGGGCGUUCGAUUGGCCCGGCUAGUUCAAGAUCCAGGCAUUGCUGUUUCUCUACGACAACAGGGUGUCGGCUCAACUGAAGAGAAUCAACUCCUUAUUAGAACUUACCUUCCCAUUUUGUAAUUGAAUUAGAGCUUGUGAUACACCUUGGUAGAAUGAUGACGUUAUGCAACAUGCUGUAACGGGACUGAGAACAGUAACAUUCUAGUGAAAUACUAUUAGCGUUAGUUUCAGUGGUGGAAAAAGUCAUUUCACACUGUUGUAAAAGUAAUGAUAUCUUAAUAGAAAAUAACUCCAGUAAAAGUCAGCCAGUAAAAUACUACUUGAGUAAAAAGUCAAAAGUAUUUGGUUUUAAAUGUUCUUAAGUAUCAAAAGUAAAAGUAUGAAUUAUUUAAUGUUCCUUACAUUAAGAAAUCCAGAUGGCACGGUUUUAUUACAUACAUACAUUGACAGUUUGCCAGUGUCACACUCCAACACUCAGACAUCAUUUACAAAUGAAACAUUUGUGUUUAGUGAGUCUGCCAGAUCAGAUGCAGUGGGGAUGACCAGGGGAUGUUCUCUCGAUAAGUGCCCGAAUUGGACCAGGUUCCUGUCCUGCUAAGUAUUCAAGAAAAUGUAUGGAGUAAAAUGUUGUUUAAGUCUUUUCUUUAGGAAUGUAGUGAAGUAAAAAUAAAAGUUGUCCAAUAUAUAAAUAGUAAAGUACAGAUACCCAAAAAACUGACUUAAGUAGUACUUUAAUAUAUUUUAACUUAAGUACUUUACACCACUGGGUAGUUUUGACAUGCAUUGUAGUCAUUGAUGUUAACCAGUUAUUUAUGCUUACUAAAUAUUGGUGGGACUAGUUGUCCGUUGUCAUCAUAGGGUUAACUGUUCGGGUAUCAUCACAUAUGUCCUGAGAGAGAGACUGUGGUCUGAAAUAUCUUCCGCCUCUCAUCUGCUGCAUUAUUUUUGGCUUUCGCUUUGAAGUUUUUCCCAGCAGCCUUCAUCUGAUUUGUGUCCCUCUCCUCUUUCAUGUCAAUCAUUUAAAUAUGUCGCAUAAAACAGCCCAGGUGUCGUCUUUCAUCCUCCAGUACGUUACUAAAUUCCUCCAUCAGCUCAGUACGUUACUAAAACUAAGUUUACAUACACCUUAGCCAAAUACAUCUAAACUUAGUUUUUCACAAUUCCUGACAUUUAAUCCUAGUAAAAAUCACUUUAUUUUAAGAACAUGAAAUGUCAGAAUAAUAGUAGAGAGAAUGUGGGUCAGAAGUUUACAUACACUCAAUUAGUAUUUGGUAGCAUUGCCUUUAAAUUGUUUAACUUGGGUCAAACAUUUUGGUUAGCCUUCCACAAGCUUCCCACAAUAAAUUGGGUGAAUUUUGGCCCAUUCCUCCUGACAGAGCUGGUGUAACCGAGUCAAGUUUGCAAGGCCUCCUUGCUUGUACACUUUCAGCUCUGCCCACAAAUGUUCUAUAGGAUUGAGGUCAGGGCUUUGUGAUGGACACUCCACUCCAGGUCAGGGCUUUGUGAUGGACACUCCACUCCAGGUCAGGGCUUUGUGAUGGACACUCGACUCCAGGUCAAGGCUUUGUGAUGGACACUCCACUCCAGGUCAAGGCUUUGUGAUGGACACUCCACUCCAGGUCAGGGCUUUGUGAUGGACACUCCACUCCAGGUCAGGGCUUUGUGAUGGACACUCCAGGUCAGGGCUUUGUGAUUGGCACUCCACUCCAGAUCAGGGCUUUGUGGUGGACACUCCACACUCUGAUGCCUAUCAGAAGCUUUUAAAGCCAUGACAUCAUUUUCUGGAAUUUUCCAAGCUGUUUAAAGGCACAGUCAACUUAGUGUAUGUAAACUUCUGAUCCACUGGAAUUGUGAUACAGUGAAUUAUAAGUGAAAUAAUCUGUUUGGAAACAAUAGGACAAAUUACUUGUCAUGCACAAAGUAGAUGUCCUAACCGACUUACCAAAACUAUAGUUUGUUAAGAAGAAAUUUGUGGAGUGGUUGAAAAAUAAUUUUUAUUGACUCCAACCUGAGUGUAUGUAAACUUAUGACUUCAACUGUAUAUGCUGUGUAUAGAGCCCCACAUUGGAGGUGUGAUAAUACCCAUACAACCUAGCGGUGAAACAGAGAAAUGGUUCCAGUCUAUUUUCCACCAUUCAUUCUUCCCAUUGGGGAUAGUUAGAAACACUUAAAAUAAGGUCUGUGUUUCAUGUAGGCUUACCCUGGCGUGACAUUUUAUUAACCUGUAAAUCUCUCUUGGACAAGAUUACUUUUAUCAAUAUAUUUGGCUCUAUUUACUCUCAGAUUUGAAAACACUAAUUAGCAUCAAAGUAGAGAUCGUGAAAAACUACAAAUACAUGUUCCUGCACGUCAUCUCUAGCUGACACCAGGUACAUAACAGGUAUUAUGGAAAUUUCAAACUUGCACAAGACAGUUCACAGAAUUGCAGGAAAUAAACUUUAAAACAGAUGUUUUUUUCUCUCCAACGUCAGGAGGGGGGGGCACUAAAAUAUUUUGCAGUGAGGUAGUGGGGCCCCCAAAAGGCUACUGCCGGCCCUGGAGAUCUGGAUACAAUGCAGCUAGAUAAUAAACUAACGAAGCAGCUGGAAGAAAUACUGGUGGCUAUGACAGAAGCCAAACGUGAGUUGGCUUGGGGGUGUGGUUUGACGUCCUUGCCACCACCAAGACACACCCAUCUGUCAGAACCUUGCCUGCAGCUGUUUCCUCCCCACUCAUUCACAACAAACAAACCUCCUGUAGAUUCAGUUCAAUAACUACAGGCAGAUGUAUGGUGAGAUGCCAGAGGAAGCUUUGACUAGGUCAGUAGUCUACAGAGUAAUAUGAGAAGAAUGCAAUUGUUGAAUUUAUGUAGAUAUUCUAAACUAAGUGUUUUGAUAACUUUCAAUUGUAGUAACAGCUCCAUGUAGAAUAAACAAGCCUUU